rfam:Canis lupus familiaris chromosome 15, whole genome shotgun sequence.
AGGAGCAACAGCCCCAGUGGCGGGCCGCUCUGGAAACCUGGAUUCAGCCCCCGCAGGAACUCCGGAGCUCUCGGUCUGCAGGGCCUGGAGGCUCCGGGGCGGG